GAGAGGGAGAGAGAGAGAGAGAGGACCAGAUAAGAGAGGGAACGUGCGCCCAACAAAAUCUCUCGUGCAGUCUACCGUAGUCCAGCUCGGUCAACCUUCUACUCCCCCCCACUGACCCUCGUGGCUUAAUAAUGUGAAGUGGUUUAUUCAUUUCUUCUCUGGAGAAUUACCAUCUGCUCCGAGGGGCUCGUGGGUUCAAGUUUCAAUGCAACGUUAGGCAUUGUCAGGGUGCAACAAUUUUGUUGGGCUUUUAGCAUUUCUAGCCAGCCCGCUCCCCUCCUUUUAACAUCCAGUUAGCUGAUAACAAAUUAAUAUUUAGGCGUACUCAGCAGACGUCCAUGUGAUAUCAUCGGAUUGCCAUUUGUUAUUUUCUUUUUUUUUACAAAGCUUCUGUCUGUCUGCUUGUCUGUUUGUCUGGUAAAAGAGUUUGUACACGUUCUUUUCUCCACACUCAUUCUAGGACCAAGUUGAAACUUUGCACAAUGAGAUUUGUGAUUUUGGGCACAUCGGCACAAUUUAGGCCAUGUCGUGCCUGCAGUCCCUCAAGGGCCACUCUCCCUCCACACAGCAAAGGCCAAAUUCCAUACAGUCAAAUCAUUAAAAUCAAGGUCUAUUCACAGUUAAAAUAGUAGAGGUAGUAAAAAUUUAAUAAUUUGGUAAAAAUCUAAUGUAAAUAGUACAUGUCUACAGAAUUCAUAAAUCAGAUCUUCGUAGACAACCCCACUUCCCGGAUAAAGCCCAGUACCUUCCCAGGGUCGACAUUAUUGAAUAGUGUUUUUAAGUUAGUGGCUCUAAAAUAUUUUU